UUUGAGAGUUUGAUCCUGGCUCAGGAUGAACGCUGGCGGCGUGCCUAAUACAUGCAAGUCGAACGAGUUCUGAUUAUUGAAAGGUGCUUGCAUCUUGAUUUAAUUUUGAACGAGUGGCGGACGGGUGAGUAACACGUGGGUAACCUGCCCUUAAGUGGGGGAUAACAUUUGGAAACAGAUGCUAAUACCGCAUAAAUCCAAGAACCGCAUGGUUCUUGGCUGAAAGAUGGCGUAAGCUAUCGCUUUUGGAUGGACCCGCGGCGUAUUAGCUAGUUGGUGAGGUAACGGCUCACCAAGGCAAUGAUACGUAGCCGAACUGAGAGGUUGAUCGGCCACAUUGGGACUGAGACACGGCCCAAACUCCUACGGGAGGCAGCAGUAGGGAAUCUUCCACAAUGGACGCAAGUCUGAUGGAGCAACGCCGCGUGAGUGAAGAAGGCUUUCGGGUCGUAAAACUCUGUUGUUGGAGAAGAAUGGUCGGCAGAGUAACUGUUGUCGGGCGUGACGGUAUCCAACCAGAAAGCCACGGCUAACUACGUGCCAGCAGCCGCGGU
rnacentral:rRNA from 2 species